CAUAAAUCAUAUUAAAUCUUUUUCUUAUUUUUAUUCCGGAUAUAAUGUAUUAAGUCUCCCUCUUUUGAGCCUGUGCUUAAUCCUUCUUUUGUUCCUGCACCAAUAUUUUAGUUAUUAUUGUUUCAACUAUAGGAGUUCCAUUAUAAUUUCCUUUUCUUUUCACCAAAAUCCAGCUGCCUGCAGACAGGAAAAAAAAACUCCUCCGCAAAGUCCCAUGGCUUUUAUCGGUAAAGCUCAGAAUUUUCCAUAACAAAAAAAAGUUACAAAGUUUCUUUUUAAACCAGAUGGUGUCUCUACAAUCCACAUUUUCCAUUAGUCAUACAAGUAUUCAUUUUGUGCAAUUAUUCUUUUAAUUUUAAAAGUAUCUAAUCUUUUUUUUUUAGAAUCCAAUUCGAAUUUUAAAGUAUCCAGUCUUUUUACCAUAUCUCAAUAAUUAAUUCCCUUCAUUCUGUUCAAAAAUUAAUUGUUUCUCAGGUCUUUGUCUCUUUAGGGUUGCAGUUAAAACUUUCCAAAGCCCCUUUGUUGCACAGCUGCUAUUUUAGGUUAGGGGUCUUCUAAAUAAUAAUAUUGCUCCACACAUUGUUGCAAGCCUGGGUUUGUUGUCACUCACCCAGCUUCAAAGAGCUCAGCUUCACUCCACUUUCCUCCAGCACUUUUCUUAGCCCAGUUGUCCCAGCUUCGUGGCAGCCUCCAUGGCUGCCUCCCCCCGCCGCCAACUCUCAGAGGGUUCCCUCUGACCUCCGAGGAACUUGCCUAUUCCUCUUGGUCAUCCAAGGUGCCCCGCCUUUUUCCCCCUCCCUGCAGGAUUGUUCCGGUCUGAAGACCCAUCGCCGGCGGUUUGGCAGCCGGGGUUUUCGCAGGACUCAUCAGAGCCCACUAUUUCCCCGACUGUCUCGCCAUGAUGCCAAACCGGAAGUCAACAGUUUCUAUUUCUGUACCAUUUCUUUAAAUAGUUCAUUUGACUGGGCUUUCAUCAUUUCAUACUUUGGUCUGGGGGAAGUUGACUCCAUUGGCUUCUGUAACUGCUUUCAACCGUGGAAGUCUAAUUGCUAUGGCCUCCAGCUAGCAUGCAUCUUAGUUGGUGAGGAUGAUAUUUUAAUCCAACAUAUCCAGAUUGACUGUAACAAGAGGAGGCAAGGUCUUCUGAGCCUUUAACUGUCAUGGUUAAGCUGAUGCUGAGGAAAAUUCUAUGUUACUAUUUUACUUGAUGGCCUCGGAUACUAGAGUUCUUUUCAAGGCAUAGCCAUCUGGGUCUGGUUUUGUGGUUAGAAGAUAUAAACUACCAGCACAUACACCAUAUGUUGCAUAGUUUUUGUUAGGGAAUGGCUAUUGCCUAACUGGUUGGGUUGGCAAUAUAUAUAAACCAUCAAUGCAUGUUUGCAGUCAAAAGGUAUUGUAUAGCUUUAAGACUGUAAUGCUGUAUUGCAUCAUACUGUAUUCUGAUUGGCUAGCUCUGUAGCCAAUGUCCUUAAGAGGAAGCUUGAAUCAUGGCUUAUUUCUUAUUACAUUAUUAUUACAUUAUUAAUUGCUACCUCUGCUCCUCUCUGCCUGUUUUCUCUGCAUGAUCACUGCUUGAUGAUUGCUACUUGUUAUUUUUCUACUAUUUUAUUGAUUGUUUUAAUGCUGUACUUGUUCCUGUUUGCAACUACAAAAGAACUGUUUUAUUGCAUAUGACUACAACAACUGGUAAUAAGACUUUGUUCUUGGAGUAUCCCUGGAUUGACAUUUUAACUAUCUUUAUCUGUGUAUGACCUGGAUUUUUUUAUUGGAUUUUGCUUUACUUUUUCCUAAAAGUAAAAGAAUAUCACAACUCAGUGUGUCUGUGUAUUGACAGUGCUUAUUCAUUAUCACUCUCAGCCAUUUCUCAUAUGCACACCCUUGCUACUCAAGGGUUACUCUGUGCAUAUUCCUCAACUGUUUUGCUACUCAAUUCCUUGAGGAAGGAAUGCUUUGCUUGGUAUUCAUGGUCUCUUCCAUCUGUCUUUUUCUUUGCCAUUUUAAAUGACAUAAUACCCUGAGCACCAUAGGUCUAUUUAGCUAAAUGCAUGAAAAUAAAUGCGCAUCCAUCUCUGCUUAUCAUUAUAACUGCAAUCUUGGUGCCCUCCAAUUGUUGAUGGAUUACCAUUGCCAGUAGCAUCUAUGAAAAUGAUUAGUAUAAGUAUAAGUAUAAUUUUAUUUCUAUACCGCCCUUCUCCCAAAGGACUCAGGGCAGUGUACAGCCUAUUUAAAAACACAAGACAAACAUCAAUUAAAAAUAUAAAAUUAUUAAAUAAAUUUGGCUCAAUUUAAAACCCCAGAAAUUUAAAAUACCCCAAUUUAAAAUUAUUAUGUUGAUAGCCCAGCCUGGCGGAACAACAGGGUCUUCAGUGCACAGCGAAAUACCCGGAGGUCGGAGAUCUUACGUAUUUCCGGGGGCAGUUCAUUCCACAGGGCUGGGGCUCCCACAGAGAAGGCCCUACCCCUGGGUGUCGCCAGCCGAAAUAACUUGGCCGAUGGCACCCUGAGGAGACCCUCUUUGUGGGAGCGAACUGGCCGGUGGGAGGCUAUUGGUGGCAGAAGUCGGUCUCGAAGGUAUCCGGGUCCUAUGCCAUGGAGCGCUUUAAAGGUGGUGACCAACACCUUGAAUCGCACCCAGAAGACCACUGGGAGCCAGUGCAGCUCGCGCAGGAGGGGUGUCACAUGGGCACAACAAGUUGCGCCCAUAACCACCCACGCGGCCGCAUUCUGGACCAGUUGGAGCCUCCGAGUGCUCUUCAAGGGGAGCCCCAUGUAGAGAGCAUUACAAUAGUCCAGCCGGGAGGUGACAAGGGCGUGAGUGACCGUGCGCAAGGCGUCCUGGUCCAGAAAGGGCUGCAACUGGCGAAUCAGGCGAACCUGAUAAAAGCCCCCCCUGGCCACGGCCGUCAUAUGCUCUUCUAAAGACAGCCGUGCAUCCAGGAGGACACCCCGAUUGCAAGCCCUCUCUGUGGUCUUAGUGAUGGGGGAUAUGAGGAGUUCUACAGCCAGAGAGCCACAGACUCCCCAUCUCUGCUUUAGAAGUUGCAUGAUCAAUUACUGUCCCAAUUUCACAAAAUUCAUUCCUUGGUUCCUUAAUGAAUUAGCACAAGUAGAUUUUCUGGGCAUUGUCGAGAGAAGGCUUGUUAUGCUUUCACCUUCUCCUCUUCCUGAGGCACCCUUUCUGACUUGACUUAAGGGCAAUAGAGUUAUCACCCAAUCUGUGUUGGUCACCAUCUUUUUCAAAUUUCCAACAAUUUAGAGAUCAACAGUGUUCUAAAGGAUCAAGGGAAAUUUACAUGGUUUCUCUCAAUCUGUUUGUACUUGGUGCCAAUGAACCUUGUACUAGUGUUGAGUUCCCAGUAGCCACAUAAGAAUGUUAUGCAUGGAUAUCAGAUGUAGCAUCAACAUAAGUUUCACUUUUUCUGAAAUGUUCCAAGCAAUAUCAUGAUUAGAUAGAUAGAUAGAUAGACAGAUAGAUAGAUAGAUAGAUAGAUAGAUGAUGGAUGGAUAGAUAGAUAGAUAGAUAAUAUCAUGAUAUAUCAAUUCUAAAAUUAGCUCAACAGACUCUGGGAACUUUGUCCAUCCACAAGAUUGAGCCUAGCUUAUUCCAGGCAUGUUCUCAGUCACGGAGGAAACGCCGGUCACAUGAGGGAUGUGACUUAUCCAGUUACUCUAGGACCGAGUCUACCAACAAAAGAAGUCCCGCCUCUUCCUGUAUCCAGUUUUUCGACUCGGUCUGGUAGAGGACAGUCGUGUCUGUUUAGCUCUCUCUUCAACUCCACGUGGGAGAGCUUUUUGGCCAUUGUUUGCUAAUUUCUACCUAUUCUGCUUCGUUCUCCUUAAUUUGCUGGCGUUUUACAAGAAAAGCGGCUAAACUUAAUUGAAAUCAGCUGGGGAGCGCUAGAAGCGCUCCGGCAGCCGCGAGCAGCCCCGCAGCAGCGUGCACGUGCGUUUGCACCGCCGCGCCUAUUUACAGCAGUUUUCGGCGAUUUUGGGGCGUUUGGAGAGGUUUCCUUGCCUCCUGCUGCUGUUGGAGCAUUGUGGCUGCAGAUUUGUGGCGCGAAGGCUUUUCCGCGCCUAAUUUUGCCGCGCCUUUAAGCCAUUUGGCUAGCGGCCAUUCCAGCCUCCUGUUUAUCCAUCCUGGCUUCUGGAUUCUUCUCUGCUUCUCUCCUGGCGCAGUGAGUUACCUGAAACACCAAUUAUCCCCUGUGGGUGGAUUUUUAAGGGUGAUUUCCCUCCUUUGCAAUUCAUUCUGAGCUGUAAAAGUAAAUUCCUGCUCCAAAAUGGCAGAUGCUGGGGGCAAUAAAUCCCAGAGCAAAGGAAAAAGGGGCCAUACUUCUGAUCCUAAGGAAGGUUCCUCAGGGGACCCUGUUCCUCCCAAGGCAGCCAGAGUUUCUACUAGAUCCACUCAUUCCAAGAGUGCUAAUCCUGCUGCAUCAUCAAGGGAAGAGACCAGGAGGCAUAAGGCCAUGGAAAAGGUCUUUCAAAAAGCUGCUUCAGAGGCCUCUAGAGUGUCUUCUGCUGUGGGGCCUUCUAAAUCAUCUGCCCUCCCCACUUCUAAUGUGGCUGUUCCCCCUUCUCAAAUUCAAAUUGAACAUGAUUUUUCUCCUGAUCAGUCUACUCUGGGGGAGCAUGUGGCUGCUGAUGCUUCUUCUGUAUUUCCUGCUGCUAGGCCUCUAUCUCCAAUUGUGUCUAUUCAAGCCCCUCCAAGGCAAGAACCCCCUGAGGCUCCAGCUCAAUCCAGCAAUCAAGGGGCUGAGGCUUCUUUGUGUUUAACUCCUGCCCUAGCUGAACUUAUUUCAGUAUCAAUUAGGCAGGGUAUUGCUGAAGGCCUGCAGCAAAGGGCCUCUUCUGAGGUCUCCAGUUAUGUGAGUCAGCAGAGUCAUUCUGUGAGGGCCCAGGCUGUUGCUGAUCCUGUGCAAUGUGAGGAAAGGGUGGAUUCCCAGGAAAAUGCAAGUCAAGGUUCCCUAUUUGAGGGGGAAAUUGCCCCGGAUCAAGAUCUCUCGGAUGAUGAAGGUCUGGAACCAGACCAGCCUUCCUUCAUUGGGCUUUUCAAGCCUCAGUUAUUCAGAUUCUUAUUAUAUAAAGCUCAAAAUGUUACUGGCCUGGGAAGUUCUUCUGCUUCUUCCACUCAAGGGGCGGCUUCUACAUCUUCAUCUCAGCAUCCCUCUUCAUCAUUAUUAUUUCAGGAACCUUCCAUUCGUGCAGAGGUGGUUCCAGCUCCCAAGCUGUUUUCUUAUGUCAUCCAAAGACAGUGGUCUUCUCCUAGUUCUGGCCCGGUUCCUAAUGGUCUAGAUAAAAGAUUUUAUAAUAUGGCUUCUGAUUUUGCUAACAUCCUUCAAGUUCCUUCUGUAGAUGCACUUGUCGUGGCUCUCUCUUCUGCAUCUCCUCUUACUGGCCCGUCAGAGGAAUCCCUGUGCCCUGAAGACAAGAAGUUUGAGCGAUCCUUGGUCAAGGACCACCAGGCCUCAGCUUGGUCCAUUCAGGCCUCCUUGGCCGCUUCCUUUUUUAACAGGGCUUCCAUCCUUUGGCUUCGCCAACUGCAGGAACGGCUGCCUUCUUCUGAUGUAUGAUCUCACCAGGACAUCAACAAGGUCAUAGCUGCUGUUGAGUUCUCUGCUGAUGCUGCUCUGAAUGCUGCCAGGUUUUCAGCGAAGGCUAUCGGGGCUUCGGUCACUUCACGACGGCUUCUGUGGCUUCGUCAGUGGCAGGCGGAUGUCCGGAACAAGUGGAGGCUUGCAUCGGCUCCCUUCUCGGGGAACAACCUCUUCGGCUCAGCAUUGGAUCCACUUCUCAUCGAGACGAAGGAUCAUCGCAAGAUUCUGCCCUCCUUAUCGAGGAGAUCUGAUCCUCGUCAGCAGAGUUCCUUUCGAGCCCAUUCCUUUCGCUCUGACUUCUCUUCCUUCCAAUCCAGGCCUCAGCGGUACUCUCAGCCCAGGGGUGGACAACAGCAGGAUUUCCAGGUCAGGCAGGGGUCCCGUUUCCCUUCCCGCAGGCCCUUCAGGGGGGGUAGGGGCUGUCCCUUCCGUAGGUCCCGUUAGUUCUCCCUCACCUAUCCCUGACUCCUUAAUUAGAGGUCGGUUAGCAUCCUUUGCUGACCAAUGGGAUAUUUCAGUUUCAGACCCCUGGAUUAGAUGUACGAUUAGAUUUGGUUUGACCCUUGAGUUCUCUUCUGUUCCUCCUAGCUUGUUUGUCAGGUGCCCAGUUUCCCAUGUCAGGACCAAGCGGGUUCUGUUAGAUGAGGCUAUUCAACAUCUUUUGGAGAUUAGGGCUGUUCAAUGUGUUCCCCAAGGGGAAGUCGGCCAGGGAUUUUACUCUCAUUUGUUGCUAGUUCCCAAGGCUUCAGGAGGCUAGAGGGCCAUAUUGGAUCUUAAAUCCUUGAACAAAUAUAUAGUCUAUCGUCGGUUCAAGAUGGAAUCCCUCCAGACCAUUCUCCUUUCUAUCCGUCCAGGUGAUUUUUUGUCCUCCAUCGACUUGACGGAGGCAUAUCUUCAUGUGCCCAUAUUUCCGGAACAUCAGAAAUACCUCCGUUUUUGUUAUCAGGGUAGGCAUUAUCAGUAUAGAGCCCUUCCCUUUGGCCUUUCCUCGGCUCCCAGGGUCUUUACGAAGAUCAUGGCUGCCUUAUCAGGCUAUAUGAGAUCUUUUCCUGUUAGAGUUUUGUUUUAUCUAGAUGAUAUUCUUAUUUUGUCUAGUUCUGAGGUUCGGGGUAAUGAGGAUGUUCAGGUCACCCUUCAAACCCUGCAGUCCCAUGGUUUUUUGGUUAAUUGUUCCAAGAGCAACCUAGUUCCUUCCACGUGCAUCCAGCAUUUGGGGGCUGUUAUUGAUACUGUCAGGUUGCAGGUUUCCCUUUCUCAAGAACGUCAGGACAGUAUUGUUGAACUGGCAGGUCAGGUUAAAGCUUCGAGCUCUUUUUCCCUCCUGGGUCUUUCCCACUUGUUAGGGAAGAUGGUAUCUGCCUUCGGCAUCAUGCCCUGGUCUUGGUUUCAUAGCCGGGAACUUCAGUGGUUUUUACUUCCGUUUCAACGGUCUCGCAGGAGCACGUCAGUGGCCAGAGUUCCCUUGACCCCAGCAGUUCUUCGGUCCUUGGCCUGGUGGACCUCUCCAGCUCUUGCUCAGGGGUGCCUGUUCAGAGUUCCUCAGCGAGUGAGCAUCACCACGGAUGCGAGCCUCUUCGGAUGGGGGGCUCACCUGGGGUCUCAUCUGGCUCAAGGGCAGUGGUCGGUCCAGGAGAGGGGACUUCACAUCAACAUCUUGGAGCUCAGAGCCAUCUUCCGGGCCCUUCGCAAGUUCGCUCCUCUCCUUCGGGGUCUGGAUGUCUUGAUCAGAACAGACAACGUAGCUGCCAAAGCCCACAUCAACCGGCAAGGAGGGACCCACUCCAAGGCUCUUAUGAGGGAAGCCUCCCGUCUCUUCAGGUGGGCAGAGAGUCACUUGGCCUCCAUUCACGCCUCUCACAUCUCAGGGUCAUCGAAUGUACAGGCGGACACCGUCAGUCGCUCAGUGGUGGAACAGACGGAGUGGAGCCUCGAUCCACUUCUGUUCCAGAACAUUGUGCAUUGCUUUGGUCUUCCAGCAGUAGACCUCUUUGCGUCCGAAUCCAACCACCAGCUCCCGAGGUUUUACACGAGGUUUCCUGUCCAGGGGGCCGAGGCUGUGGAUGCCUUGAUCAGCCCGUGGCCUUGUGGUCUUCUUCUCUAUGCUUUCCCACCUCUUCCCCUCAUCUCCAGGGUCAUCAGGAAGCUGUUGCAGGAACAAGCCGAGCUCAUCCUUCUGGCACCCUUCUGGCCCAGACAACCGUGGUUUGCAGAUCUGAUGGCUCUCUCCGUCGCUCCCCAUUGGCAGAUUCCGGCCGACAAGAUCUCUCUGUGGCAAGGCCGCCUAGCUCAUCCAGAUCCUCAGUGGCUCCGGCUGACCGCCUGGAGGUUGAGCAGUUCCUCCUGUCCUCGGCCAGGGUUCCUUCAGAAAUAAUAUCUACGAUCCAGGCCUCUCGUCGCGGGUCAACAAACCAUAUUUACAAUGCCACUUGGAUGGCCUUCUCUGCCUCGUGUUGACGUAAGAAGGUUCUUCCUACUGCUGCUUCCAUUCUUGACAUUCUAGGUUUUCUUCAGGAUGGCUUCAAGUCGGGACUCUCUCCCAAUACUCUCUGGAGGCAAAUCUCUGCCAUAUCUUCUAUCCUCACCUGCGGCACCGCUGAGUCUGUGUCCAUUCACCCUCUCAUUCGUUCAUUCCUCAGAGGCGCUGCCAAUCUACGUCCUCCGGCCGUUCAUCGGUUUCCGACCUGGGACCUGAACAAGGUUCUAUUGGCUCUUACUGGUCCUCCCUUUGAGCCUCUCCAGGAAGUCUCGCUGAAGGUUUUGUCUUUUAAGGUAGCCUUUCUCGUAGCGAUCACCUCGGCUCAGAGAAUCUCGGAGUUGGCUGCUCUCUCAGUUUGCCAGGAUCUCUGUAUUAUUCAUGCUGAUCGAGUAGUUUUACGAUUGGAUCCAGCUUUUAUUCCGAAGAUCAAUACAGCCUUCCAUCGCUCUCAAGAGAUCAUUCUCCUCAACUUCUGCCCUUCCCCCCAUCAUCGCCUGGAAAAGGUGUGGCACAAGCUUGAUGUACGUCAGGCUCUCAAGAUUUAUAUCUCCAGGACGUCUUCCUUUCGUCGUUCUGAGGCUCUUUUUGUGUCUUUCCAACCCCAGUCCAUGGGGUCAAAGGUUUCUUCCACUACCUUGGGUCGGUGGCUCAGGGCUUCCAUUUCCUUAGCUUACGAAGCUCAAUCAUUGCCAGUGCCUCGUGGUGUUACAGCCCACUCUACCAGGAGCACAGCUACUUCGGCUGCCUGGUCUACCCAAGCUUCUCUCGAGGAGGUCUGCCGAGCUGCUACAUGGACGUCUCCGUCUCUGUUUAUCCGGCAUUACCGGUUGGAUGUUUAUGCAUCGGCGGAAGCUUCAUUUGGGCGACGUGUGCUGCAGCGGGUAUUCUCCCAGGACCAAGAGCGGUGCUGGCCUUCUCCCUCCCAAUAGGUACAGGGGCUUUGGUAUAUCCCUCAUGUGACCGGUGUUUCCUCCGUGACUGAGAAUGGGCGUUGGUCUUACCUGAUACGCCGCUUCUAGUCACUAGGAAACGCCGGUCACCCCCUCCCAAUUGGUCUGGCACCCCUCGUGCUGGAUUUUGGCUGUUGAAGGACGGGGUGGGUCCUGGGGAUUUUUUACUUCUCUUUUAUCUUUACAGACACGACAGUCUACCGUUCGUCCUAGUCUCAAACUGGAUACAGGAAGAGGCGGGACUUCUUUUGUUGGUAGACUUGGUCCUAGAGUAACUGGAUAAGUCACAUCCCUCAUGUGACCGGCGUUUCCUAGUGACUAGAAGCGGCGUAUCAGGAUGCUUCUGUGGUCUGGGAUUGAUCUAUACCAACAAAACGUGCACCAUGCCUCCCAUCACUUUCCAGGACUUGCCUCUGAACAUCUACAUGGUGAUUUUUGGCACAGGUGUCUUCAUCUUUGUACUCAGCCUUAUUUU